GUCACCCAGGCUGGAGUGCAGUGGCGUGAUCUCAGCUCAAUGCAAGGUCCGCCUCCUGGGUUCACCCCAUUCUCCUGCUUCAGUCUCCUGAGUAGCUGGGACUACAGAUGCCCGCCACCACGCCUGGCUAAUUUUGUUUUUGUACUUUUAGUAGAGAUGGGGUUUCACCGUGUUAGCCAAGAUGGUCUUAAUCUUCUGACCUUGUGAUCCGCCCACCUCGGCCUCCCAAAGUGUUGGGAUUACAGGCAGGAGCCACCGCACCUGGCCUCAACUUCUUUUUUAACUUAUGAAUUGUUUAUUUCCGGAAUUUUCCAUUUAAUAUUUUUGAACCACAGCUGACUGAGGCAUGCACCAGAUCUGUCAUUUCUGGAAUCUUGUGCGAAUUGUGUAUCAACUUGAGGGGCCACUCACGGACUUGUCAUCUGCUCUCACCAGGACUUCAGAGGAUCUCAAUGCUGCUGUUCUCACAGCCUGACAGGGACAAAAUAACAGGAAACUUGCAAAUUUGUCUUUAUUCUUGCUUAUGGUAUGGCUAGAAAAUGUUUGAAUUAAUAUGAGAAAUAUAAAGAUCUAUCAUAACCUCCUUUUUUGUAGGUGGGGCUACUUUUCCUUCCUUAAUAGUUACCCUUCUGCUGAGGCCCCCUAUGGGAAACACCAAUCUUUAAGGGACUUAAUCCCUUUUUCCAAACUUCCCUGGGCCAGUGCCCAAAUGGUCUAUACAUUGUCUGUUAAAUCAAAGAAACCAGCUUUCUUGUUUUUCUCUAUGGUUUCUUCCCAUGCAAUUGACAUCUUACAGUGCAACAUGGAAAUUUGAAAUAAAGGCACACCAUUGCACAUCUAAGUUGAGAUCUAGAGACGGUGGUUUGGAGUGAAGUUCUAAUUAAUAGGAGAAAUGGGAUUGCUAACUUUGGCUUUUCCCAGGGAUCCUUAAGGUCUGGGACAGAUCCCCCAUUGGUCUAGAGGAGUUAGGGUUAAUUGUAGUCCUGCUUGGAGACAAAGGUACUAAAAUGUGACUACUGGCUUUUUCAGCUAUAAAAUUGAAGAGUCUCUGCAUGGUCUGUUCCAGGCAUCUCCCUGAGCCAGCCCAAGGAACUGCCUUUAGGUCUCUUCCUUAUCCCUUCUCUCUCUCACGCCUUCUUUUGUUCCCUGCCCUUCUUCCUGGCCUCUCUCUCUUACUUUCAUUUCUUCUGGCAAUUAGUGGACAAGCCAGAAGAAAACAAUUAAGAUGGUCAUCAAUUUGGGCAGUAUUCUGUUCACACUUAUUUGAGACUUGUUCUGUAGUAUAUGUGAACAUACUCAGGACGUAAAUGAAAUAGAAUAGUGAGCCAGAAAAUUGUGAUAAAUAAAGGUGCUUCUACCCAUAUUUUGUUUACAUUCUGGGUGGUGCAUGAGAUUAAAAGCUGUGAGACUUUGCAAAUAGAAUGAGGUAGAUGACUAGUUUUUGCUGUGCAUAAGGUCAACAAUAUCACCCAACAAAUAGCCAGCUCCUUGCCACACUCCCUUCCUUCAUUCUAGUCAUCUAUCUUACAAGCAUAAUUGAAUUAGAUCCUCAUAAAAGUCUUACAAGGCACAUACUACUGAUGGUAGUGGAGGCCUGUCUGGAGCGGCUGCUGCCAUGAUGCUGGCUUCAGGGGGUGAGGCAUGGCCAGGGCUGCACACUCCAAAGAGCCAGCAGGAGCCGGGAAAAGGCAGAAGCCCUGGCAGGGCAGGAACCUUGUGCUCCCUGGGAGCAGCUGCGGCCAUCCAGCUGUGGCUGUGGACCUGGGCAUCCCUGUGCUCUUGGGAGCUGGGAUUGGGCAGGAGCCCUGCCCUUCUGGAGUGUAGCUGCAGCUGCCCAAGCCAUGGCUACGGACCUGGGCGUCCCCUCUUGGGGGCCUGGGAAAGGCCCCCUCCCACCUGCAGGCUUGGAAGUGCCUGCUCCCACUACCUGGCCUCUCCCUGCUCCCUGCACCUACUCUGAUCUUGGAGCAAAGUUGAGGUCGAGCCCAGGAGCUGUUGCAACCUGGUUGGGUGUGUGCACAAUUGGGGCAGCACUGACGCUCCAGCCCCCUGCUGCCUUGGCUGCCUCUGGACUUUGGGCACUGGUAAGCAUGGGAGGGAGCCUGAGUGGGGGCUAAGGGCGGCUCUGCAUGGGCCUUUAGGUGUCCCUCAGCAUGAAUAGCCUGGGUGACAGCAGGAGGCAGACAGGCUCCUGGGUGGAAAGGAGUGGGUCCCUAGUGAAGCUCUACCUUCGAGCUGGGGAAGGCCUGAAGCCUGACGGCCAGGCUGCCGGCCCCACAGACCAGAGUGGGAACUUACGGUACUUUUUCCAGGCCCACCCAUGGCCACCCACGGACCAAUCAGUAGGCACUUCUUCCUCUCUGAAGUCCAUAAAAACCCCAGACUCAGACAGACUCAAGGAGAUGACAGGACAACCUGCCUGCAGAGAGGAGCUCCCCACUCCAGGGUCUCCUCUCUGUUGAGAACUGAACACUCAUCGGGACGCCCUGCCUGUGGAGAGGAGCUACCCAAUGCAGGUCUCCUCUGAGCUGUUCUGUCACUCAAUAAAGCUCCUCUUUGCCUUGCUAACUGUCCACUUUUCCCUGUACCUCAUUCUUCCUGGAUGCAGGACAAUAACUCAGGACUCACUGAAUGGUGGGGCUGAAAGAGCUGUAACACAAACAAGGCUGAAACACACCCCUUGCUCACCACACUGUGGGUGACAAGGAGAGAAGAGAGAAGGAGAGAAGAGUUGCGGCCCUUCAGGGAGCCCAGACCUAGGAUCUCCCCCAGCCAGGGCUGUGACACCCUCUUUGGGGCUCUGCGGUUCCUGGUGUCUUCAAGCUUCUGAGCACCACU
rnacentral:lncRNA from 1 species